rnacentral:rRNA from 1 species
AAUCUGCCCUUGACUCUGGGAUAAGCGUUGGAAACGACGUCUAAUACCGGAUACGACCCUUGGAGGCAUCUCUGGGGGUGGAAAGAAUUUUGGUCAGGGAUGAGCUCGCGGCCUAUCAGCUAGUUGGUGAGGUAAUGGCUCACCAAGGCGACGACGGGUAGCCGGCCUGAGAGGGUGACCGGCCACACUGGGACUGAGACACGGCCCAGACUCCUACGGGAGGCAGCAGUGGGGAAUAUUGCACAAUGGGCGAAAGCCUGAUGCAGCAACGCCGCGUGAGG